AUCCAGCUGAGGAAUCCGAGAUAGGAUGAAACAUGCGUCCUGUAU
rnacentral:hammerhead_ribozyme from 1 species